AGUUUGAUCAUGGCUCAGGAUGAACGCUAGCGGCAGGCUUAACACAUGCAAGUCGAGGGGUAACAUUAGUGCUUGCACUAGAUGACGACCGGCGCACGGGUGCGUAACGCGUAUAGAAUCUACCUUUUACAGGGGGAUAGCCUUUAGAAAUGAAGAUUAAUAUCCCAUGGUAUUGCGAAGUGGCAUCACUUUGUAAUUAAAGAUUUAUCGGUAAAAGAUGACUAUGCGUCCUAUUAGUUAGUUGGUAAGGUAACGGCUUACCAAGACAUCGAUAGGUAGGGGUCCUGAGAGGGAGAUCCCCCACACUGGUACUGAGACACGGACCAGACUCCUACGGGAGGCAGCAGUGAGGAAUAUUGGGCAAUGGAGGCAACUCUGACCCAGCCAUGCCGCGUGCAGGAAGACUGCCCUAUGGGUUGUAAACUGCUUUUAUACAGGAAGAAACACUGCUACGUGUAGCAGCUUGACGGUACUGUAAGAAUAAGGACCGGCUAACUCCGUGCCAGCAGCCGCGGUAAUACGGAGGGUCCGAGCGUUAUCCGGAAUCAUUGGGUUUAAAGGGUCCGCAGGCGGUCAAUUAAGUCAGAGGUGAAAUCCCAUAGCUUAACUAUGGAACUGCCUUUGAUACUGGUUGACUUGAGUCAUAUGGAAGUAGAUAGAAUGUGUAGUGUAGCGGUGAAAUGCAUAGAUAUUACACAGAAUACCGAUUGCGAAGGCAGUCUACUACGUAUGUACUGACGCUCAUGGACGAAAGCGUGGGGAGCGAACAGGAUUAGAUACCCUGGUAGUCCACGCCGUAAACGAUGGACCACUAGUUGUUGGGCAUUAGCUCAGUGACUAAGCGAAAGUGAUAAGUGUCCCACCUGGGGAGUACGAUCGCAAGAUUGAAACUCAAAGGAAUUGACGGGGGCCCGCACAAGCGGUGGAGCAUGUGGUUUAUUCGAUGA
rnacentral:rRNA from 1 species